GACGAACGCUGGCGGCGUGCUUAACACAUGCAAGUCGAGCGGUAAGGCCCUUUCGGGGGUACACGAGCGGCGAACGGGUGAGUAACACGUGGGUGACCUGCCCUCAGCUCUGGGAUAAGCCCGGGAAACUGGGUCUAAUACUGGAUAUGACUCCAUGACGCAUGUUGUGGGGUGGAAAGCCUUGUGCGGCUGGGGGAUGGGGCCCCGCGGCCUAUCAGCUUGUUGGUGGGGUGAUGGCCUACCAAGGCGACGACGGGUAGCCGGCCUGAGAGGGCGACCGGCCACACUGGGACUGAGACACGGCCCAGACUCCUACGGGAGGCAGCAGUGGGGAAUCUUGCGCAAUGGGCGAAAGCCUGACGCAGCGACGCGCGUGA
rnacentral:rRNA from 1 species